rnacentral:rRNA from 1 species
UUAGAUUAAGAUCAUGGCUCAGGACGAACGCUGGCGGUUUGCUUACACAUGCAAGUCGAGCGGUAAGGCCUUUCGGGGGUACACGAGCGGCGAACGGGUGAGUAACACGUGAGUAAUCUGCCCUUCACUUCGGGAUAACCACCGGAAACGGUGGCUAAUACCGGAUAUGACCAUCCUUGGCAUCGGGGGUGGUGGAAAGUUCCGGCGGUGGAGGAUGAGCUCGCGGCCUAUCAGCUUGUUGGUGGGGUAGUGGCCUACCAAGGCGACGACGGGUAGCCGGCCUGAGAGGGUGACCGGCCGGAUUGGGACUGAGAUACGGCCCAGACUCCUACGGGGGGCAGCAAUUAGGAAUCUUGCGCAAUGGGGGAAACCCUGACGCAGCGACGCCGCGUGCGGGAUGAAGGCAUUCGUGUCGUAAACCGCUUUUGUUGGGGAAGAGAACGGACGGUACCCAACGAAUAAGCCCCGGCUAACUACGUGCCAGCAGCCGCGGUAAUACGUAGGGGCGAGCGUUGUCCGAAGUUACUGGGCGUAAAGCGCGCGUAGCGGUCCUUUAGUCUUGACGGUGAAAAGGUUCAGCGCGUCAACGUU